AAACUUCACAAUGGGCGAAAGCCCGAUGAGGGAAUUCCUAGUGCUAGCACAUUUGUGCUAGCUUUUCCUUAGCGUAGAUAACUAGGGGAAUAAGGGCUGGGUAAGACGGGUGCCAGCCGCCGCGGUAAUACCCGCAGCCCGAGUGGUGGUCGAUUUUAUUGAGUCUAAAACGUUCGUAGCCGGUCUGAUAAAUCCCUGGGUAAAUCGGGUGGCUUAACCAUCCGAAUUCCGGGGAGACUGUCAGGCUUGGGAUCGGGAGAGGUAUGAGGUACUUCAGGGGUAGGGGUAAAAUCCUGUAAUCCUUGGAGGACCACCGGUGGCGAAGGCGUCAUACUAGAACGAAUCCGACGGUGAGGGACGAAGCCCUAGGUCGCAAACGGGAUUAGAUACCCCGGUAGUCUAGGGUGUAAACGCUGCAGACUAGGUGUUGGAGGCCCGUACGGGGGCGACCCAGUGCCCGAGAGAAGUUGUUAAGUCUGCUACUUGGGGAGUACGUCCGCAAGGAUGAAACUUAAAGGAAAU
rnacentral:rRNA from 1 species